GCUCCAGUAGCUCAAAUGGAUAGAGCAAGGCACUCCUAACGCCUAGGUUGGGGGUUCGAGUCCCUCCUGGAGCAUCA
rnacentral:tRNA from 1 species